rnacentral:lncRNA from 1 species
AAAAUUAUAAAACUAAUAAAGGUUUCCGCGAAGCAUACAUUUAUUUGCUCCAAGUAUAAACAGUGACUUGUUUAGUAGUAAGGUGGUGGAGGUGACUUAUAGAUGUACGGAGGGGGUGGGGAAUUGUAAACAUAAGGAGGUGGAGGUGGAGAUUUGUACAUAUACGGAGGAGGUGGUGGGGACUUGUACACAUACGGAGGAGGUGGUGGGGACUUGUACACAUACGGAGGAGGUGGUGGGGACUUGUACACAUACGGAGGAGGUGGUGGGGACUUGUACACAUACGGAGGAGGUGGUGGGGACUUGUACACGUGGUGGGGACUUGUACACAUACGGAGGAGGUGGUGGGGACUUGUACACAUACGGAGGAGGUGGUGGGGACUUGUACACAUACGGAGGAGGUGGUGGGGACUUGUACACAUAUGGAGGAGGUGGGGACUUGUAGAGAUAUGGUGGUGGGGACAUAUAGACAUAAGGUGGUGGUGGUGGAGACUUGUAGACGUAUGGUGGAGGAG